rnacentral:rRNA from 1 species
UACGAAGGGUGCAAGCGUUACUCGGAAUUACUGGGCGUAAAGCGUGCGUAGGUGGUGAGUUAAGUCUGUCGUGAAAGCCCCGGGCUCAACCUGGGAAUGGCGAUGGAUACUGGCUCGCUAGAGUGCGGUAGAGGAGAGUGGAAUUCCCGGUGUAGCGGUGAAAUGCGCAGAUAUCAGGAGGAACACCGGUGGCGAAGGCGGGUCUCUGGGCCGUAACUGACGCUGAGGAGCGAAAGCGUGGGGGAGCGAACAGG